rnacentral:lncRNA from 1 species
CAACACUUCCCGAUGCGGCUUUUUUAUGUCAAAACACCUCGAUUCGAUCACAACAGAAACACCUGAGAUAUUCUGUUUAUCAGAAUUAAAUUAUGAAGCUAAACACUUGGGGUUCAGCAGUAUGAUAUCCGUAGAGAGAUGAACAUAAACUGUAUAUAGUAGUAAUUCAUGCAUUUCUCGGGAAUAAAAUGACACG